rnacentral:rRNA from 1 species
UACGUAGGGACCAAGCGUUGUUCGGAUUUACUGGGCGUAAAGGGCGCGUAGGCGGCAAUUCAAGUCACUUGUGAAAUCUCCGGGCUUAACUCGGAACGGUCAAGUGAUACUGUUGUGCUAGAGUACAGAAGGGGCAAUCGGAAUUCUUGGUGUAGCGGUGAAAUGCGUAGAUAUCAAGAGGAACACCAGAGGCGAAGGCGGAUUGCUGGGCUGAUACUGACGCUGAGGCGCGAAAGCUAGGGUAGCAAACGGG